rnacentral:rRNA from 1 species
UACAGAGGGUGCAAACGUUGUUCGGAUUUACUGGGCGUAAAGCGCGUGUAGGCUGCUUCGCAAGUCGGAUGUGAAAGCCCUGGGCUCAACCCAGGAAGUGCAUUCGAAACUGCAGAGCUGGAGUCCUGGAGAGGAAGGCGGAAUUCUCGGUGUAGAGGUGAAAUUCGUAGAUAUCGAGAGGAACACCGGUGGCGAAGGCGGCCUUCUGGACGGUGACUGACGCUGAGACGCGAAAGCGUGGGGAGCAAACAGG